AAUGUACAUUCUAAAGCAAAUACUCCACAUUCUAAAGACAGCAACCAACAGUGGGGCCAGACAUCUUCCAAGGUCAUUUUGAGAGACUUGGACUUAUACCAUCCACACUCCUGGUUCUCAGGCCUUCAGUCUCAGACUGGAACUCACACCACCAGCUUUCCUGGGUCUCCAGUUUGCAGACAGCAGAGCAGUAGAUCAUGGGACUUCUCAGCCUCCAUAACUGAAAAGAGAGAGAAAGUUAUCACCCAAACUGGAUCACGGAGACAUACAUGUGAAAAGGUGCUUCAAGCAGAGGAUUUGCGUAUGGUCCUAAUCCCCCACUGCGUGUACGUGAAGCUAUCUGCCAGGUGAAAGCACAUGGAGGAUGGAGGAAUACAGUGAAAAGGAAAUGAGAACACAGUAGCCCCCUGUUGGAAACCCAGCUGUAAUUUCUAGCAUUCAGAUACAUCAUGGGGCACAUCACGACCUUGAACCAUAAACAUAUAU
rnacentral:lncRNA from 1 species